rnacentral:rRNA from 1 species
UACGGGAGGCAGCAGUGGGGAAUAUUGCACAAUGGGCGCAAGCCUGAUGCAGCCAUGCCGCGUGUAUGAAAAAGGCCUUCGGGUUGUAAAGUACUUUCAGUCGUGAGGAAGGUGUUAAGGUUAAUAACCUUAGCAAUUGACGUUAGCGACAGAAGAAGCACCGGCUAACUCCGUGCCAGCAGCCGCGGUAAUACGGAGGGUGCGAGCGUUAAUCGGAAUUACUGGGCGUAAAGGGCACGCAGGCGGUUAAUUAAGUUGGAUGUGAAAUCCCCGGGCUUAACCUGGGAAUGGCAUUCAAGACUGGUUAGCUAGAGUCUUGUAGAGGGGGUAGAAUUCCAUGUGUAGCGGUGAAAUGCGUAGAGAUGUGGAGGAAUACCGGUGGCGAAGGCGGCCCCUGGACAAAGACUGACGCUCAUGUGCGAAAGCGUGGGGAGCAAACAGGGAUUAGA